GUGGCUUCCGGAGCUAACGCGUUAAGUAGACCGCCUGGGGAGUACGGCCGCAAGGUUAAAACUCAAAUGAAUUGACGGGGGCCCGCACAAGCGGUGGAGCAUGUGGUUUAAUUCGAUGCAACGCGAAGAACCUUACCUGGUCUUGACAUCCACGGAAGUUUUCAGAGAUGAGAAUGUGCCUUCGGGAACCGUGAGACAGGUGCUGCAUGGCUGUCGUCAGCUCGUGUUGUGAAAUGUUGGGUUAAGUCCCGCAACGAGCGCAACCCUUAUCCUUUGUUGCCAGCGAUUCGGUCGGGAACUCAAAGGAGACUGCCAGUGAUAAACUGGAGGAAGGUGGGGAUGACGUCAAGUCAUCAUGGCCCUUACGACCAGGGCUACACACGUGCUACAAUGGCGCAUACAAAGAGAAGCGACCUCGCGAGAGCAAGCGGACCUCAUAAAGUGCGUCGUAGUCCGGAUUGGAGUCUGCAACUCGACUCCAUGAAGUCGGAAUCGCUAGUAAUCGUGGAUCAGAAUGCCACGGUGAAUACGUUCCCGGGCCUUGUACACACCGCCCGUCACACCAUGGGAGUGGGUUGCAAAAGAAGUAGGUAGCUUAACCUUCGGGAGGGCGCUUACCACUUUGUGAUUCAUGACUGGGGUGAAGUCGUAACAAGGUAACCGUAGGGGAACCUGCGGUUGGAUCACCUCCUUA
rnacentral:rRNA from 2 species